UUAAGUUUUUUAAAGUUUUUCUGGUGCUCCAGGUUUUUGUUCAAGCAGUGAAUGGAGAUGCAGCACUGUGAUUAUUUCGACUACUGGGGUAAAGGGACUGAUGUCACAGUAACAACAGCAUCAACUGUGCCACCGACUGUGUUCCCUUUGAUUCAGUGCAACCCCGGGUCUGGAGAUAAAAUCACUGUUGGUUGUCUUGCAUACAACUUCUCCCCAAAGAAUCUUAAUUUCCAGUGGACCGAUGUCAGUGGGGCCGUCCUGACUUCAAUACAAUAUCCUCAUACUGAGACAAACAACAAAUAUACAGCAGCCAGUUUCAUCCAAGUAUCAAAAUCUGACUACGAUUCAAGGAAGUCUUUUAAAUGUUCAGUAAAUCAUGAUGGAUCAGUAAAAACCCUGCAAGUGCCAAAGUUUGUUCCAGCAAAAAUUACUUUGCUAUCGGUGCCAAAUGAAGACACCCAGGCCCUGGUCUGCACAAUUGAGGACAGUCACAGUGGAACAUUUGAAUCAUUUAAAUGGAAAAAGAAUGGUGCAGAUUUGAGAGACUACAGUCAAUGUCCCCUCCAUAAAACUGGAAGUUUAUAUUCAGUGAUCAGUGUCCUGAAAGUCAAGAACACAGACUGGGACAGCAAUAACGUUUACACCUGUGAGAUAAAAUACAAUGGAAACCUGUAUAUAAGAAAGACCUCAAAAGCUUUUAUCACGAUGACACUGAAACAGCCAAGUGUUAAAGCAAUUUUCAGCAACAACCAAGCAGAGCUGGAAUGUGUCAUCACUGGACAAGACAAAACCGUUGUCAGUGAAACUGACAUCACAUGGGAAAUUGACGGAAAAAAUGUGACCAACAGCAUUACUUCAACAUCGUCUGGCGGCGCGCCGUACAGCAAAACCAGCAAGAUGACUCAGAAUUACGAACAGUGGAAGACAGUCAACAAAGUACGCUGUUCUGCCAUUAGAAAAGAUAUGACACCAGUUAUUCAAGAUCUGACUGUCCAAAAAGGAGAUGGCAGUCAGCCAAAAGUGGCAGUCCACGUCCUUCCAGUGGAGGACAUCGGCCAAGGAGACUCAGCUAAAGUCACUCUGGUGUGUCUGAUCUCCAGUCCUGUGCAGCAGGAUUACUACAUUGCGUGGUCAGAAUAUCAUGGACAAACCCCCCCCAUCUAUACUGAUGGCGUUAACUUCCCACCACAAAAGACCGAAAAUGGCUACUCAGUCACAAGUGUUUACACCACCAACAACAAAAACUGGAAAGCGAAUUUCAUUUACGACUGCAACGUCAUGCCUGUUGGCACAAAUGUCACCGAGAAAUCUGGAGGAAUGUCUAAGGCUAAGGCCAUGGAGUCAAAUCUGAAUUUUGCUCUGAGCUGCACAGACGAUGCCAGUGAAGAAGAUGAGUUCAGCAGUCUGUGGUCCACAACCUCCUCCUUCAUAUUUCUCUUCAUAUCAUCUCUCUUCUAUAACAUAAUAUUCAGCCUGGUCAAGAUGAAGAGAGGAUAAAGGAUCAGAUUGAUACACAGCACCGACGACUUCAUUUGCUUUCUUGUACAUCAGCGAUAAUCUAUUGUCUAUUUGCUAAGUAAAUGGUCACUAUAUAUCAUGAUUAAGUAAGUCAUUGAAAAUUGAUUUCUCUGUACCUUUAGAAAAAGUAAAAAGUACAAUUACAAUUUGUAAUUACUUACAUGAAUAUAUUUUCCUGCAUUGGGUCCUGUUUUUAUACUAUGAUCACAGAUGUUCUUUGUUAUGUUUCUUGGACACGUCUCUAAAAUGUUUUAACUUUUCUUGUUAUGUAUAGAACAACUUGUAGUACUAUAGCAGAGAGAGAUGUUUUCUGUACAUGGUUUUGCAUUUCAUAGUUUGAAUAAAUCUUUGCUUUUUACGUUUGGA